UGUGUGUUCAUGUUUGUACAUCUUGUUUGUGCUCUCUGCAGGCCUCAGAGAACGAGGCCGAGUCUUCAGAGAGUGUGACUGUGCCGGCUGCCAAGACCCCCCUGGGGCAGACUGCGAACCUGUCUAAAACCUGUCGGCUCUCCUGUAAGCUGCCUGUGGUGAGCUCUGUGAAAGGGGAGCUGGUGCCCCCCCCUGCCUCUUUCCUACCUUCCUCCUGCAGCAGCCCAGACUUUGAGAACUGCAGCAAAGACCCAUCCACGUGCCCUAUCGUUCCAGGCCAGGAGAUAAUCAUAGAGAUCGCCAAGGGUCGCUCUGGCCUGGGUCUCAGCAUUGUAGGGGGAGAAGACACCCAGCUGGAUGCCAUAGUGAUCCAUGAGGUAUAUGAGGAGGGGGCGGCGGCACGUGAUGGACGACUCUGGGCUGGAGAUCAGAUCCUGGAGGUUAGUCUCUCUCUUUUAUCCCUCUCUUUAUCUCUCU